rnacentral:rRNA from 1 species
GGACCGGAGUGGACGCAUCACUGGUGUUCGGGUUGUCAUGCCAAUGGCACUGCCCGGUAGCUAAAUGCGGAAGAGAUAAGUGCUGAAAGCAUCUAAGCACGAAACUUGCCCCGAGAUGAGUUCUCCCUGACUCCUUGAGAGUCCUGAAGGAACGUUGAAGACGACGACGUUGAUAGGCCGGGUGUGUAAGCGCAGCGAUGCGUUGAGCUAACCGGUACUAAUGAACCGUGAGGCUUAACCUUACAACGCCGAAGGUGUUU